UACGUAGGGUGCGAGCGUUGUCCGGAAUUAUUGGGCGUAAAGAGCUCGUAGGCGGUCUGUCGCGUCUGCUGUGAAAACUCAGGGCUUAACCCUGAGCUUGCAGUGGGUACGGGCAGACUAGAAUUCGGUAGGGGAGACUGGAAUUCCUGGUGUAGCGGUGAAAUGCGCAGAUAUCAGGAGGAACACCGGUGGCGAAGGCGGGUCUCUGGGCCGAUAUUGACGCUGAGGAGCGAAAGCGUGGGGAGCAAACAGG
rnacentral:rRNA from 1 species